rnacentral:rRNA from 1 species
UGGGGAAUAUUGGACAAUGGGGGCAACCCUGAUCCAGCCAUGCCGCGUGAGUGAUGAAGGCCUUCGGGUUGUAAAGCUCUUUUGGCGGGGACGAUGAUGACGGUACCCGCAGAAUAAAGCCCCGGCUAACUUCGUGCCAGCAGCCGCGGUAAGACGAAGGGGGCUAGCGUUGUUCGGAAUUACUGGGCGUAAAGCGAGUGUAGGCGGUUGCCGUAGUCAGGUGUGAAAGCCUUGAGCUCAACUCAAGAAAUGCACUUGAUACUGGGUGACUAGAGGACCGGAGAGGAUAGUGGAAUUCCCAGUGUAGUGGUGAAAUACGUAGAGAUUGGGAAGAACACCAGUGGCGAAGGCGGCUAUCUGGACGGUUACUGACGCUAAGACUCGAAAGCGUGGGGAGCAAACAGGAUUAGAUACCCUGGUAGUCCACGCCGUAAACGAUGGGUGCUAGACGUUGGCGAGCUUGCUCGUCAGUGUCGCAGCU